AGUUGUCGGUGAUGAGACCACGGAUCUUGCGUCAGGCAUGGCGCCCUAUAAAUAUGUGAGGAUACCUUUCCAGCUGCCUUCCUUCUGAGACCACA